GGAAAUUCUCUUCCUACUGGCAUCAUUGUUGGUGUUGUUGCUGCUGUAAUUCUAUUGACUGUCAUUGUUGGCAUUGGUUAUAUGGUGUAUCGGAAGAAGAAAGACUUCAAACUUGUCAGCGGAAUAUGAGACAUCAGGUGCGUGUGUCACUGAUUCACCAGGCUCCCUCUCUCACUCCACACUCCGCUCUCUCUCCCUGAAUUACUAAUUGCUCACACCUGAUCCCAGUCCAGCACUCAAUCACAUUCCCUCCACAAAUACUCACCCGGCCACUUCAUCGAGGUCUAGUCUCCCCAUGGAAUACAGAUUCACUUACCUGCUGCUAACCUGUCCUCUAGCGAGGUCUACAAAGUUCCUCUCCAGCAUCUCCAACGAUCUGUUUCCCCUGUCUGAUGUUUGUGAGUGUGGCCUAUCAUGGACUCUCACUUCAUAUACGUAUACAGACUGUUAUCAGUGCACUGCUCAUCAUUUACUGUUCUACUUCUGAUACUUGCCUAUUUUAUUUAUUUAUUUAUUUUUUUUCUGUAAUAAGACUGAUUUGCUUUUUGGUUCAGUAUUAAUUAAAUUGGACAAUA